GAAGCAGGGCAAAGGCUCUUCUCUCACGAGGCCUAUAACACAUUCAGCACUUGCUUCAGAUUUAAUGUAAGAAUUUUAUUUGUAUUUAUUAUUGUUCCAGAUAUUUUUCAGUGUUGAAGAAAUGUUUUGCAAAAGUCAACAUAUAUUAUCCUAGACGAGAGGAGCAUACAGAACCAUCUCUCAGAUCAAGGAAUUACCAGUUCACCAGAAAUGUGCCUCCACUUGCUUCCAGUCAUGAUCCUCUCCUUUAGAGCCAUUCUUCCCCACCCGGAGGAGUCAGGAUAGGUACCCAGGACAGGGGUCAAAUUGCUCCAUACGUUCAACACGGGGAUGACUAUUCAGCUCUGGGUCGUGGAGUCCUCAGGAAGGUCUUGAAGAAUGCACGUUAAGAAGCUUAGUUCCAAGUAGCAAAUCUACUACGUGGAAAUUAGACCCGGAGUUUUCCUGGAAGUGACCAGUGGGAAGAUCACACUGGACCGACAUCAAACCGGACUCGGUCUGCCACCCGUGCUUCCACUGUGCUUACCCAAACGCCUUCCCUCAUCACCCGAACACUUGGAACUUCUCUCUCCUUUGACUCCGUAAAGACUUUGCACUUCUCAUCCCCAACUUAUUCCCAUUUUAGUGGUUAUUUAUUCAUUUACACUUUCCAACUUCUCCCUCCCGGAGGCCAUAACUCUAAGACUGUAUCUAUGUUUUGAAG